AGAGUUUGAUCCUGGCUCAGAACGAACGCUGGCGGCAGGCUUAACACAUGCAAGUCGAGCGCCCCGCAAGGGGAGCGGCAGACGGGUGAGUAACGCGUGGGAAUCUACCCAUCUCUACGGAAUAACCCAGGGAAACUUGGACUAAUACCGUAUACGCCCUUCGGGGGAAAGAUUUAUCGGAGAUGGAUGAGCCCGCGUUGGAUUAGCUAGUUGGUGGGGUAAGGGCCUACCAAGGCGACGAUCCAUAGCUGGUCUGAGAGGAUGAUCAGCCACAUUGGGACUGAGACACGGCCCAAACUCCUACGGGAGGCAGCAGUGGGGAAUAUUGGACAAUGGGCGAAAGCCUGAUCCAGCCAUUCCAUAGGGAGUGAUGAAGGCCCUAGGGUUGUAAAGCUCUUUCAACGGUGAAGA
rnacentral:rRNA from 1 species